rnacentral:rRNA from 1 species
CAGCCGCCACGGUAAUACGAUGGGUGCAAGCGUUAAUCGGAAUUACUGGGCGUAAAGCGUGCGUAGGCGGUGAGUUAAGUCUGCUGUGAAAUCCCCGGGCUCAACCUGGGAAUGGCAGUGGAUACUGGCUCGCUAGAGUGUGUCAGAGGAUGGUGGAAUUCCCGGUGUAGCGGUGAAAUGCGUAGAGAUCGGGAGGAACAUCAGUGGCGAAGGCGGCCAUCUGGGACAACACUGACGCUGAGGCACGAGAGCGUGGGGAGCAAACAGGAUUAGAUACCCCCGUAGUCCCUGUCUCUUAUAC